UGAGUUCUAUUGAGUUCAUUGAGUUCAAUGGUAUGGUUCAAAGUUCAAAUGCACUUCCAAUACAAUGGGUCAGCAGUGUACCGCAUAAGGCGGGAAAAUUAUGCUAAUGAGGCAACUCCAUUGGGCAAUUCUUCGUUUUCAGAAAGACAAAACAUGUAAAGAAGCUUAUCUUGUUGUGUUUUCUCGAGAAAUAUUUGGCUGAGCGGAGAUACGGUUCAAGGGGAAGACACUUUCACUCGUGGUGUGCACUGUGCAGGUGUAAAAAGAAUUGUAAAUGGCGUAUGUGGCUACAAGGAAGUCGAUGUUCUUUCAAUACUGUGUGCUUGUUGAUCUCUACGUUAGUUCGUUUUACAUGGAUACUUCUUUAAGCAGAGACAAAUUUGGUAGUUUUAUUCAAUUUACUUUCAUGUUCGAUGAUUAACAUUUUUUCGCGUUGUUAGGAGCUUGUCUCAAACAAAUAUUCAAAGAAAAGCUUCUUGUACGAAUUGUUUGUAAACCAUGUUGACGUGCUAUUAGAAAUUAGGUUGAAAGUUAAUCCACAAAUGUGAAAGAAAAUAUCCUUAUAUGACCUUAGUUCGAUGUCAUUAUAUUUUGUUGUUGACAAACGAAAAGAGAAAAUGUAUUUGAAGGACUUAAAUUGAAUUGUUUGUUUUAAA